AGUCAGUGAAACGCCCCUAAUUAAUAUUCAGCCAUACUGACUUUCAUGACGGCAAAGCACGGCAGAAAGGCAAAAAAAAGAAAUUGAAGUUCUUGAAGGGGAGGUUGAAGCAAGAACAAAUAUAUUGUUUGGUGGACACAGUGUGGGCAUUACAAAUGCCAAAAAGCGUUAGUGGCAGCAUGUGGCGGACGCUGUGAAUGCAGAAGGUAAAAAGACGUGGUCCGACAAAAGUGGAGGCCGAAAGGCGCAUAGCUGUACACAGACAGUGUUUGCCACGAACCGGGACACCGGAGCUCAACCCCCUUGAUGGGCGACUUGCCAGUUUUAUAGGGGAAUCCCACCUGAGUGGAGUAGCGACGGAGGAGGACACGGACAUGCAGGACGUACCGGAUGACCCAGUCCCUGAGUGUUCCAGCGGGGCCGGUGGUGCUGCAGCUGAGUAAGAGCUGAGUGCCCGGUGGUGCUGCAGCUGAGUAAGAGCUGAGUGCGCCUCCACUGCAAACCCAGAGACACCAUCGACGCUAUUAACGAGGUUGCCAAGGAAUUGAAGUGGGACAGGCACGGCUUGGUUUCUGCGGGUGUAACCGAUGUAAAAUUGUUAGUUAGUGGGGUGCGCGCUAACAGCGUUUCAAUCGGUGACGUCACUCGCUCUGAGACCUUGAAGUGGUUGCAGAGGGUCCAUGGUUCGAGCCCAGGUUGGGGCGAGGAGAGGGACGGAAGCCACACUGUUACAUGGGUGCUUCUCUGUAAAGCUGGGCCCAGUACAGCACAGAGAUCCAAGAGAACAGUUCUUGGUAAUUGGAACCGGCUCAUAAGCCACUCAUUGGGCAGUAAAUCUUCCAUUCGCCAAAUCUUUUGACAGUGCUAAUGCAGCCAUUGUGCGUCGUUACGCAUUGUAAUUGCAUGCCUUGUUAUACCCACCCAUUUGAUUGUCAAAGCUACCCAAUUGCGUAACACCGUCAGGUGUGGUAAUUACCCUGAUUGUAACUGACAAUGACAGGGCCAUUAUCACAUUGACAGUUUUGCGCAACGAACAUGUGACAUAUCUGCCCGACUGAGGCAUUGAAAACAGCAUCAGUUUAAACGUAAUUUGUCCUACUGUUCACCUUAUUAUUUAUGAGCAUACAUUUCAUAACAUUCAAGUAUGGUUUAAUAAUUAUGGAGCCAAUUAAAUAUGCUUCCCGAUUAAACUGUACAACAUAUUUGAGGGUUUAUU